AAAUGUUCCCAUUUAAUUUUUCCAGUGCCGCCUGUUCGUGCCCCCCCAUCCCGGGGACUUAUCCCUGGUAUUGGGUGCCAGCACUGGCCCGGGAGUCCCUGAUCCUGUUUUGCAAUCUUCUGGUGUCAGCCAGCAGCUUGGGCCUUCUUGUAAGUGCCCCCACGGUCAUGGGGAAGGAAUGUUCCCCCAGCCGCAUGGGGAAAGGUCACCACGGGCAAAGGGGACACUGGGGCCGGGCGAGCGUGCUCCCUUGCUCCCCAUUGCCGAUGAGGGCAACGCCAAUCAGCACAGAGCUGAAAACAUUCCGGCUUUAAAAAAAAGGUUCAGGAGGUUAAAUAUUUUGGGGAAGGCCCCGCUUCCUUUCACAGGGCAGAUCUCCCAGCAGAUGCUGUGCCCAGGCAAAGUCCAGGAGGACAUUUCCCUGUGGGUUUCAUCGCUUUUUUUAGUGAGGGAGGUUGUUUGCUGUUGAGUCUGCAUCUGCUUGUCUCGCUGAAGCAGUGUCCAGGACAGUGUUGUUCUGAAGAGUAGCUGGGCUGAGCACUCUCUUCCCUUCCCAUCCCAUCCCAGGCCUGCCAACAAACCUCUCCCCUGAACUCAACUCGGAAAGAAAGCUGUGACUUGUGGUGGCCGCGGAGGGAUUAGCAUCCAACAUUAAGGGCUUAACUCUUCAUCCCUGCCAGCGGGGGUUUCAAGUAACGCCACUGUGCCUUUUUCUUCCGCCCUCAACGAGUUUGUAUCCUGCUUUAAAAACAUCCUUUACACACCAUUCUCCGGGCUGGGUUUUCUAAGCUGGAGCUUGCUCCUGGUGCUUGGCUUUCAGAGUCUGGCGUGUUGGCUGAGGCUGGUGGCAUUGAUCGGGGUGAGAGCGGAGUGGAGGAAGGAGGAGGAAUUUCUAGGCUGGGCUCAUGAACCGAGUUUGUCAAAAUUCUCAGCAUGUUAAGAAAAAAAAGAUAAUCUGGCCCUUGGUCUCUAGGUUACGUUUGCCUCUGCUGUGGCUGAGCUCAUGGAAAAUUGCAGCUUAGCUCCUGCACUCAGUGCCAAGAUUAGUAGGUUUAAAAACUAACCGAUAACAUCUUUGUAAACUUGGAGUCAUUUCUUUUAAGCCUGAUGAUCCUUCCAGCCUGGAUUUUGGAGCUUUCCUCGAGAUCCACAUGAGACAAGCAGGAUGACAGUAUCAGCCUUGAAAAAAAUCACCGUGUCACCUUCACAUACCCAGAGGAAGGAGGCUGCUGUUCCCC
rnacentral:lncRNA from 1 species